rnacentral:rRNA from 1 species
GACGAACGCUGGCGGCGUGCUUAACACAUGCAAGUCGAACGGAAAGGCCCUGCUUUUGUGGGGUGCUGGAGUGGCAAACGGGUGAGUAACACGUGAGUAACCUGCCCUUGACUUUGGGAGAACUUCAGGAAACUGGGGCUAAUACCGGAUAGGAGCUCCUGCUGCAGGGGGGGGGUUGGAAAGUUUCGGCGGUUGGGGAUGGACUCGCGGCUUAUCAGCUUGUGGGUGGGGUAGGGGCUGACCAAGGCUUUGACGGGUAGCCGGCCUGGGAGGGUGACCGGCCACAAUGGGACUGAGAUACGGCGCAGAGUCCUACGGGAGGCAGCAGUGGGGAAUAUUGCACAAUGGGCGGCAGCCUGAUGCAGAAACGCCGCGUGCGGGAUGACGGCCUUCGGGUUGUCAACCGCUUUCGCCUGUGACGAAGCGUGAGUGACGGUAAUGGGUAAAGAAGCACCGGCUAACUACGUG